UACGAAGGGGGCUAGCGUUGCUCGGAAUCACUGGGCGUAAAGCGCACGUAGGCGGCUUCUUAAGUCAGGGGUGAAAUCCUGGAGCUCAACUCCAGAACUGCCUUUGAUACUGAGGAGCUUGAGUUCGGGAGAGGUGAGUGGAACUGCGAGUGUAGAGGUGAAAUUCGUAGAUAUUCGCAAGAACACCAGUGGCGAAGGCGGCUCACUGGCCCGAAACUGACGCUGAGGUGCGAAAGCGUGGGGAGCAAACAGG
rnacentral:rRNA from 1 species